CUAAUCAUCGUUGUCCACCGCCAUGAUUACUUCUGAAAUGCAAUAUUACCAAUUCAUGAGUAUUUUCUUACUCUAAGCUAGUACAAUAACAUAAUUACAUAUGAGUCUAAGCAUAAUAUAUUACUAGACAACACAACUAACAGAAUGUGUGAAAGACACUUUUACAAGAUAAGGGUAAUCAUGUGAAACAUGUUUAGUGCUAGUUGGUUCAAUGUACGCAUAAAGCAGUGAAAUCUGACAUCAUAGAGCAGGGAUAGGCAACCAUCGGCACUCCAGAUGUUGCAGACUACAUGCCCCAGAAUGCUUUUAAAGAGAAAAUUGUGGCAAAGCAUCAGGGGAGAUGUAGUCCACAACAUCUGGAGUGCCGAAGGUUGCCUGCUCCCGUCAUAGAGAGAUUAAGCAGUAGCCAAAGCGAUAUGUUGUGUGAACAUUAGUGAGCUCUGCUCUUGGAGAUCUGAGCGUCCAGACAUUUUAGGAGCUUAGAUUCAAGGCUUCUUAGACUACUGUCCACUCUCUUUAUAGAAACACUUAUGUUUUCUGCAAGGCAGUGGA